AUGAGAAGAAAUAGCAAGGCCCAACCAGUUCUUCAUCUGAAGACAGUUCAAUGUUCUGCAAACCAGAUCUUCAGGAAUUUUACUGGGAUAAUUGUCCAAAUAAAUUGCAAGCAUUCUAUCCAAAUGGUAAGCAGAACAUCUUAUUAUGUAACCAUAUUUGUUUAUCCAUAAUUAGUAUAACUUUCUGAGUACUGAAAUGAGAAACUUGAUUUACUCUUCUUCACUCAUGUUUUAAAUUUUAUAAGAAAAACUCGAAUCACUAAAUAAUUUCUUUUUAUUUUAUUUAAAAAUUAUAAUUCUGAGAUGUAAAUAUAUGGCAUGUAAGCCUGGGAAUUAUUUAAUCACUUUACUCGAAAAUCUGGUAAAAGGCAAAAUUUCUGAAAAUAGACUACCGGAAAACAUUUUGUAAACAAUAUAGAGGGAGAAUUGUAUAUCAGAAUAUACACAUAAAACUAUCUUUUCAGAUAAUUAUGUAUCAUUUAUUUUCUUAUAGUGAAAUUAUAAAAAUAAAACCUAUAGCCUUCCAUAGAUACAUAAUUAACUGUGUUUUGAAAUGAUAUCCAAUUCAGUACCUUCAUACAUUUGAAACUUUGAUAAGCUAGUCUGUCUUCACUUUGGGGAUCAUCUUCAUUAAGAGUUUGUUUUCUCGAGUUUUGAGGUAGGAUACUUGAAGUCAUUCUUCUUCUUUAUAAUUAUGUGGCAAGAACUAUCUCCCUCAAAACUUUAUGCUUAAGUUUGUGACAGUCACACUGUCAGUCAGAUGGUGCAAAGUCUUUUAAUGCUGUUGAACAUAAGGGAGUUGUCUAAAAUACAGAUAGUUCUCCAUCUGAGCUCAUAACCCAAGCAAUGUGCUUCAAAAUUGCAUUUAUUAUAUUUUUUCUUAUUACAAAUGAUAUUAUGUUCAUAACGGAUAGAUAAAUUAGAUGCCCAUAAAUAUAAAUAAAAAAAUAUUCUCACCACCUCAUGCAACCUGUUAACCUUUUGUAUAAACUGGUGAAUGUUUUCAGUAUACGAACACACAACCUACUGUAAAAAUUCAAGAAACGAGUGUGAUGAUGAUGUGAAAUGCAGAUUCGCCUCCCCUGACCCCACUUCCUCUGCAGCUUGGGUAUAAAUGCCUGCUCCAACACCUGUUCUCUGUGUGAACUUGGGCAAAUCCUUUACUCCCUCUAGGCUUUCCUUUCUCAUCUGCAAAAUGGAGCUAAUAAUACAUACCUAGCUGAUGGGGUUGUCUUGAGGAUGAAAUAUGUUGAUACAAGUUAGGUGUAUAGAGCAGUGCCUAGCUCGUAAGUGAGAUAUUACAAAAGUAUCUAUUGUAUUUGAAUUAUUUUUUGGAAUUUUUAAGAUGUGCAUAUUUUGUAUACUUAUAUCUCAUUUAGCUUUCUACUAAAGGUAAUUAUUCUUCAGUUAGUUAUUUUGUGGUUCCAGAUAGAAAAUCAUAUUUUCUAAAAAUAAUAACAAUUUUAGAUACUUUUAUUUUUUUUCCUUUUUAGCAUCAUACUUUUAUCAAUUUUGAGGUCACUACUUAUUGCCUUGGCUAUGUCUUUCAGUGUAACAUGAAAUAACUGAAUAAUUCUUUAUUCUUUCUGAUUUUAUUAGGAAUGACUUUCAUGAUUGUAAUUUGAGUACUGUGUUGACUAUUUGUGUAAGUUUUAUUCUUUUUCUUAAGACGUAAUUCUAUUCUUAACUAUAUUUGAUUAUCAGAAGUUUCUGUUGAUGUUCUAUAAAUCUCAAUUACAUAUAAAUUAAUGUUUUAAUAUCUCUUGAGAAGAUGAUUUGGUUCUCCUCUCUCGG
rnacentral:lncRNA from 1 species